AGAUGUGAGGGCAAUCUGGCUGGGACAUCUAUCACUCAUUGGUUGGCAGGGUUUAUUCAGCUGAUCUGGCUGGCUAGUUAGGUGUCCCUUUCCUCUCUCACUGCUCUAUGUUCAUUCCUCCUGAAGCUGAGUGCUUAGUGGAAGAGGACAACCUUCCCGGAUAGAAGAGGGUUUGUGUUCAGUCAAGUGUAUAUAAAUAUCUGCAUGCCCUGCUAGACCUUCCAAACAAGCUCUCAAGAGCCUCAGGGGUCUGGAGGAGGGAAAGAAUAACUUUCAUAUGUGUACAUUUGGGGGUGAUUAU
rnacentral:snRNA from 1 species